rnacentral:rRNA from 1 species
AGUGAACGCUGGCGGUAGGCCUAACACAUGCAAGUCGAACGGCAGCACAGUAAGAGCUUGCUCUUACGGGUGGCGAGUGGCGGACGGGUGAGGAAUACAUCGGAAUCUACUUUUUCGUGGGGGAUAACGUAGGGAAACUUACGCUAAUACCGCAUACGACCUACGGGUGAAAGCAGGGGAUCUUCGGACCUUGCGCGAUUGAAUGAGCCGAUGUCGGAUUAGCUAGUUGGCGGGGUAAAGGCCCACCAAGGCGACGAUCCGUAGCUGGUCUGAGAGGAUGAUCGGCCACACUGGGACUGAGACACGGUCCAGACUCCUACGGGAGGCAGCAGUGGGGAAUUUUGGACAAUGGGCGCAAGCCUGAUCCAGCCAUACCGCGUGGGUGAAGAAGGCCUUCGGGUUGUAAAGCCCUUUUGUUGGGAAAGAAAAGCAGCAGGUUAAUACCCCGCUGUUCUGACGGUACCCAAAGAAUAAGCACCGGCUAACUUCGUG